UACGUAGGGCGCGAGCGUUGUCCGGAAUUAUUGGGCGUAAAGAGCUCGUAGGCGGCCUGUCGCGUCCGCUGUGAAAACCCGGGGCUUAACCCCGGGCCUGCAGUGGAUACGGGCAGGCUGGAGGCAGGCAGGGGAGAACGGAAUUCCCGGUGUAGCGGUGAAAUGCGCAGAUAUCGGGAAGAACACCCGUGGCGAAGGCGGCUCUCUGGGACGGUACUGACGCUGAGACGCGAAAGCGUGGGGAGCGAACAGG
rnacentral:rRNA from 1 species